AGAGGUUGUGUUAUUAGGGUGACAGACAGGGAGCCUAGCGGUUAAGAGGUUGUGUUAUUAGGGUGACAGACAGGUAGCCUAGCGGUUAAGAGGUUGUGUUAUUAGGGUGACAGACAGGUAGCCUAGCGGUUAAGAGGUUGUGUUAUUAGGGUGACAGACAGGUAGCCUAGCGGUUAAGAGGUUGUGUUAUUAGGGUGACAGACAGGUAGCCUAGCGGUUAAGAGGUUGUGUUAUCAGGGUGACAGAUAGCCUAGCGGUUAAGAGGUUGUGUUAUUAGGGUGACAGACAGGGAGCCUAGCGGUUAAGAGGUUGUGUUAUUAGGGUGACAGACAGGUAGCCUAGCGGUUAAGAGGUUGUGUUAUUAGGGUGACAGACAGGGAGCCUAGCGGUUAAGAGGUUGUGUUACUAGGGUGACAGACAGGGAGCCUAGCGGUUAAGAGGUUGUGUUAUUAGGGUGACAGACAGGUAGCCUAGCGGUUAAGAGGUUGUGUUAUUAGGGUGACAGGGAGCCUAGCGGUUAAGAGGUUGUGUUAUUAGGGUGACAGACAGGGAGCCUAGCGGUUAAGAGGUUGUGUUAUUAGGGUGACAGACAGGUAGCCUAGCGGUUAAGAGGUUGUGUUAUUAGGGUGACAGACAGGUAGCCUAGCGGUUAAGAGGUUGUGUUAUUAGGGUGACAGACAGGUAGCCUAGCGGUUAAGAGGUUGUGUUAUUAGGGUGACAGACAGGUAGCCUAGCGGUUAAGAGGUUGUGUUAUCAGGGUGACAGAUAGCCUAGCGGUUAAGAGGUUGUGUUAUUAGGGUGACAGACAGGGAGCCUAGCGGUUAAGAGGUUGUGUUAUUAGGGUGACAGACAGGGAGCCUAGCGGUUAAGAGGUUGUGUUAUCAGGGUGACAGGUAGCCUAGCGGUUAAGAGGUUGUGUUAUUAGGGUGACAGGUAGCCUAGCGGUUAAGAGGUUGUGUUAUCAGGGUGACAGACAGGGAGCCUAGCGGUUAAGAGGUUGUGUUAUUAGGGUGACAGGUAGCCUAGCGGUUAAGAGGUUGUGUUAUUAGGGUGACAGGGAGCCUAGCGGUUAAGAGGUUGUGUUAUCAGGGUGACAGGGAGCCUAGCGGUUAAGAGGUUGUGUUAUUAGGGUGACAGGGAGCCUAGCGGUUAAGAGGUUGUGUUAUUAGGGUGACAGACAGGGAGCCUAGCGGUUAAGAGGUUGUGUUAUUAGGGUGACAGACAGGGAGCCUAGCGGUUAAGAGGUUGUGUUAUUAGGGUGACAGACAGGGAGCCUAGCGGUUAAGAGGUUGUGUUAUUAGGGUGACAGACAGGGAGCCUAGCGGUUAAGAGGUUGUGUUAUUAGGGUGACAGACAGGGAGCCUAGCGGUUAAGAGGUUGUGUUAUUAGGGUGACAGACAGGGAGCCUAGCGGUUAAGAGGUUGUGUUAUUAGGGUGACAGACAGGGAGCCUAGCGGUUAAGAGGUUGUGUUAUUAGGGUGACAGACAGGUAGCCUAGCGGUUAAGAGGUUGUGUUAUUAGGGUGACAGGGAGCCUAGCGGUUAAGAGGUUGUGUUAUCAGGGUGACAGACAGGGAGCCUAGCGGUUAAGAGGUUGUGUUAUCAGGGUGACAGACAGGGAGCCUAGCAGUUAAGAGGUUGUGUUAUCAGGGUGACAGGUAGCCUAGCGGUUAAGAGGUUGUGUUAUUAGGGUGACAGACAGGGAGCCUAGCGGUUAAGAGGUUGUGUUAUUAGGGUGACAGAUAGGGAGCCUAGCGGUUAAGAGGUUGUGUUAUUAGGGUGACAGGGAGCCUAGCGGUUAAGAGGUUGUGUUAUUAGGGUGACAGACAGGGAGCCUAGCGGUUAAGAGGUUGUGUUAUUAGGGUGACAGACAGGUAGCCUAGCGGUUAAGAGGUUGUGUUAUUAGGGUGACAGGGAGCCUAGCGGUUAAGAGGUUGUGUUAUUAGGGUGACAGACAGGGAGCCUAGCGGUUAAGAGGUUGUGUUAUUAGGGUGACAGACAGGUAGCCUAGCGGUUAAGAGGUUGUGUUAUUAGGGUGACAGACAGGUAGCCUAGCGGUUAAGAGGUUGUGUUAUCAGGGUGACAGACAGGGAGCCUAGCGGUUAAGAGGUUGUGUUAUUAGGGUGACAGACAGGUAGCCUAGCGGUUAAGAGGUUGUGUUAUCAGGGUGACAGACAGGGAGCCUAGCGGUUAAGAGGUUGUGUUAUCAGGGUGACA